CCCUUAGAUGUCCGGGGCCGCACGCGCGCUACAAUGGAUGAAUCAACGCGUCGUCCUGGCCCGAAAGGGUUGGGGAACCGCUGAACCUCAUCCGUGGUUGGGAUUGGGGUUUGUAAUUAUUCCCCAUGAACUAGGAAUUCCCAGUAAGCGCGAGUCAUAAGCUCGCGUUGAUUACGUCCCUGCCCUUUGUACACACCGCCCGUCGCUACUACCGAUUGAAUGGCUUAGUGAGGUCUCCGGAUUGGCGUCGGGGAUCCGGCAACGGAACCCCUUCGCUGAGAAGCUGAUCAAACUUGGUCAUUUAGAGGAAGUAAAAGUCGUAACA
rnacentral:rRNA from 1 species